ACCCUGGUGGCGCAAAGGUUAAGCGUUCGGCUGCUAACCGAAAGAUCGGCAGUUCGAAUCCACCCAAGGGCU
rnacentral:tRNA from 1 species